GAUAAACGCUGGCGGCGUGCUUCAGGCAUGCAAGUCGAACGAGCGACCCCGGCUUGCCGGGGAAGCUAGUGGCGGACGGGUGAGUAACACGUAAGCAACCUGCCCAAAAGUGGGGAAUAACCCACCGAAAGGUGAGCUAAUACCGCAUGUGAUGAGUUCCCCCUGGGGAAUUCAUUAAAGGAUUUAUUCGCUUUUGGAGGGGCUUGCGGCCGAUUAGCUAGUUGGUAGGGUAAUGGCCUACCAAGGCGACGAUCGGUAGCUGGUCUGAGAGGACGGACAGCCACACGGGGACUGAGAUACGGCCCCGACUCCUACGGGAGGCAGCAGCUAGGAAUCUUGGGAAUGGGCGAAAGCCUGACCCAGCAACGCCGCGUGGGCGAUGAAGGCCUUCGGGUCGUAAAGCCCUUUUGCAAGGGACGAUAAUGACGGUACCUUGCGAAUAAGCCACGGCUAACUACGUGCCAGCAGCCGCAGUAACAC
rnacentral:rRNA from 1 species